rnacentral:rRNA from 1 species
UACGGGGGGGGCAAGCGUUGUUCGGAAUUACUGGGCGUAAAGGGCUCGUAGGUGGCCAACUAAGUCGGACGUGAAAUCCCUCAGCUUAACUGGGGAACUGCGUCCGAUACUGGAUGGCUUGAGUUUGGGAGAGGGAUGCGGAAUUCCAGGUGUAGCGGUGAAAUGCGUAGAGAUGUGGAGGAACACCGAUGGCGAAGGCAGCCCCCUGGGCUGAGAUUGACGCUCAGGCACGAAAGCGUGGGGAGCAAACAGG